GCCGUAACAAAAGCAGGAGAGGGAAAGUACAAGGCUAUGUUCCCAAAACACACGAGUGACAUACCUUAUGUGGAUGAUGUGAUCAGGCUUGUGUUUGAUGAGGUAUUUGAAGAUAAGCUGAAGGAAACCCUGAUUCCGAUGGACCUGGCAUCACAGUUUGAGAGACCUUCAAAGGAGGACGUGAUUGCAUGCCAUCUUCAGUGCAGGGGUCGUCGAAAGCCAAAAUUGUGACCGAUCUGAUCAGGAAGCUCCAAGCAUAUCUGGAGAACAACACACGACAGGAUGAUAACCUUAUAGUGUCGUCUUAAAUAGCACCAGCUUUGAUAUGCCAUUUAUCUGAAUAGAUAGCUGUAAGAAAUUAAUUGAACAAUUUUUGAAACAAGAGCACAAUAUGGUUACUAAAGUAUGUUUAUUUGUAUAUUGUUUAACAUUUAAAUAUAUAUUUGUAAUAAAUUAAAAAAAAACUUUUGACUGACUAU